rnacentral:misc_RNA from 1 species
AUCAGGAUCUCGACAAUCUCACUAAUGUACUUCCAUAUGAAGCAACACCUGCCUACUGUUCAUCCUUCUCCAGACCUGCUGAGGAGGGUGUUGGUAACAUCAUUGACCGGGAUCCAGAAAACCUCCCUGAUGUACUUCCGCAUGAAGGUGACGAUAAAUGCAACGAAGUAACAGUCACUGUCGAUGCUUCCUCAUCUGAAUCUGCUGAGGAUGUUGUUGGUAACAUCAUUGACCAGGAUCUUGGAAACCUUCCUGUUGUGCUUCCGGAUGAAGGUGACAAUAAAUGCAACGAAGCAACAGUCACUGUUGAUACUUUA